rnacentral:misc_RNA from 1 species
AACGUAGGACGCGAACGUUAUCCGGAAUUACUGGGCGUAAAGGGCGCGCAGGCGGUUCGGUAAGUUAGGCAUGAAAGCUCCCUGGCUAAACCGGGAGAGGAUGUCUGAUACUGUCGGACUAGAGUAAGGUAGAGGGGUGUAGAAUUCCGCGUGUAGUGGUGAAAUGCGUAGAUAUGCGGUGGAAUACCAGUGGCGAAGGCGGCACCCUGGACCUUAACUGACGCUGAGGCGCGAAAGCAUGGGUAGCGAACGGG